UCCCGUUUGCUACGGGCAGUCUCGGUAGAGAAGUACAACUACCGACAAGGGUUGCGCUCGUUGCGGGACUUAACCCAACAUCUCACGACACGAGCUGACGACAGCCAUGCAGCAUCUGUGGUGCACCCUCGAAGGUCACACGUUUCCGUGCGCUUGCAGCACCAUGUCAAGCCCAGGUAAGGUUCUUCGCGUUGCAUCGAAUUAAUGAACAUGCUCCGCUGCUUGUGCGGGCCCCCGUCAAUUCUUUUGAGUUUUAGCCUUGCGGCCGUACUCCCCAGGCGGAGUGCUUAAUGCGUUAGCUGCGGCACAGAGAGGGUUGAAGACCUCCCCACACCUAGCACCCAUCGUUUACGGCGUGGACUAC
rnacentral:misc_RNA from 1 species